ensembl:lncRNA
CUCUAUUAAUAAAUUUUUCCAAGUUGUAAUGUGUAUGGUGUUCCUUGAUUUCCAGUUCAUGAGGAUAGUUUUCUUGGCGAUAGUUAGAGCUACUAGGAGUAAUUGACUGUUUGUACUGUUUAGAUUGAUUAUGGAUAUGUCACCUAAUAUACAAAGGGAGGGGGACAGCGGGAUGUGACAUCCCAUAAAUUUGGAUAGUGAGUUAGUAACAUUUUCCCAGAAUUUUUUAACUGAGGUGCAAUCCCAAAUAGCGUGUAAAUAGGUGUCUGGAGUGUUUUGUGUGCAAUGUGAGCAUGUUUCUGCAGUAAAACCCAUUUUAAAUAAUUUCUGCCCAGUAAGGUGAGAUCUAUGAAGUACUUUAUACUGUAUAAGUUGUAAGUUGGCGUUUUUUGUCAUGAAGGUGAUAUUUUUACAGAUUUGUGUCCAGAAAGCGGCAUUGGGAGUAAUGGAUAAGUCCGAUUCCCAUUUAGCACUGGGUAAGCUUAAUGUAUUGUCUGAUUUGGAUAUUAUUUUAUAUAUUUUGGAGAGUAGUUUUUUUGGGGAGGUUAUAUUAAUUAGCUCUGAGAUUGGAGGGGGAAGGUCUAGAUUAAUUGUCUUAGUGUCAAUUUUUGAUUGAAUAGAUGAUUUGAUUUGUAAGUAUUCCAAAAAACAAUUACUCCCAAUGCCGUAUUUCUGGACCAAGUGGGAAAAUGGUGCCAAGUUAUUAUUAAGGAGGAUGUGUUGAAGUUGUGUGAUGCCCUUAUCUACCCAUGUGCGCAAGUUGAGUGGCUUCUUGUUAACUAUGAAAUCUGGGUUAUUCCAAAUCGGGGUGUAUUUAGAUGGUGCAAGAGGUGUGUUUGUGAUUUGAUGAAAUUUCCACCAGGCUGUCAGAGCUGUGGCUAUUGUUGGUGUUUUAAAACAGUUAUGCUUUUUGAUUGUCUGAUUAUAGAAGGGUAAAUCUGAAAUGUUAAUGUCCUUACAAACUGACUGUUCCACAUCUAGCCAUGUGCUUUCUGAUGGGUUAGGAUGAAUCCAUUUAUAUAUAUUUUGGAGCUGAUUGGCCAAAAAGUAGUGGUAUAAAUGUGGAGCUUCAAGUCCUCCUUGUGUUUUUGGUUUCUGUAGUGUAGAUAAUUUAAUUCUUGGGGUCUUAUUUUUCCAGUAGAAUUUAGUGAUGAUUGAAUCUAGCGAUUUAAACCAGGUGAGGGUGGGUAAUGCUGGAAUCAUUGUAAAUAAAUAGUUUAAUUUAGGGAGUAUAGUCAUUUUAAUUACUGAUAUUCUGCCCAUAAUGGAUAGUGGUAAAUUCAUCCAGCGAUGAAGGUCAUCAUUUAUUGUUUUAAGUAAUGGAGAAAAGUUAAGUCCAAAAAGCUCAGACAGCCUGGGGGAAACAUUAAUGCCUAAGUAUGUGAUAUAGUUGGUGCACAAAGGAAUAGGUGGUGUUUGGGAUGUCACAUCCAUGCUGUUGGAAUGUAAUGUAAGUAUGGCCGAUUUACUCCAGUUGAUGGAGUAUUCAGAGAUAUUUGAGAAUGAAUCAAUGAGUUUAAUUGUUUCUUGUAAUGAUGAUGGGGGGUCUUGUAAAUAUAGUAAUAUAUCAUCAGCGUAAAGACUAAUUUUGUGGUGCAUGUUUAGUGUUUGAAUUCCUUUAAUGUAGCUGUUUUGUCGGAUGGCUGCUGCUAAUGGCUCAAUGAAAAUGGUAAAUAAUGAAGGGGAGAGUGGGCAUCCUUGUCUAGUCCCCCGUUGUAGUGUGAAGAUAUGUGAUGUUAGUCCAUUGGUGAUGACAGUGGCUGAAGGUGAUGUAUACAGAAUUUUGAUCCAAUUAAUGAAUGACUCCCCAAAACCAAACCUCUCUAAUGUGGAAAACAGGAAUUUCCAAUUGACCCUAUCAAAAGCUUUUUCUGCAUCGAGAGUAACUAUGAUGGUUUUGGUUUUUUGAGUUGAUGAAUAAUGCAUUAGGUUAAAAAGUCUGCGUGUGUUAUUGGACGAAAGUCUACCUUUGAUGAAACCGGUUUGAUCUGGAUGGAUUAUAGAUGGUGUGACUUUUUCUAUUCUAUGUGCUAGUGCUUUGGCGAUGAUUUUGAUGUCUACAUUGAUUAGGGAAAUUGGACGAUAACUUGACGGUGAUGUUGGGUCUUUAUUUGGUUUAAGAAGGAGUGAAAUAGUGGCUGUGUUCAUAUUAUCUGGGAGUUUUGAUUUUUGUUUUGAUUCAGUAAUCAUACGGAUGAAAAGUGGCGAUAAAAUGGACCAAAAAUGUUUGUAGAAUUCAGCAGGGAAUCCAUCGGGGCCUGAUUCAAGAGUAUUUAUUUGAUGUUUCCUGAGUUGUGGUAGGUUGAUAUUAUUGAGAAAUGAAUCAAUGUCUUUCUGAUCUGGGUCUUUUUCAGAG